UUAGGUGGCAAGCGUUGUCCGGGAAUUAUUGGGGCGUAAAGCGCGCGCAGGCGGUUUUUUAAGUCUGAUGUGAAAGCCCACGGGCUCAACCGUGGGAGGGGUCAUUGGAAACUGGAGAACUUGAGUGCAGAAGAGGAGAGCGGAAUUCCACGUGUAGCGGUGAAAUGCGUAGAGAUGUGGAGGAACACCAGUGGCGAAGGCGGCUCUCUGGUCUGUAACUGACGCUGAGGCGCGAAAGCGCGGGGAGCAAACAGGAUUAGAUACCCUGGUAGUCCACGCCGUAAACGAUGAGUGCUAAGUGUUAGAGGGUUUCCGCCCUUUAGUGCUGCAGCAAACGCAUUAAGCACUCCGCCUGGGGAGUACGGUCGCAAGACUG
rnacentral:rRNA from 1 species